GUGGGGAAUAUUGGACAAUGGGGGGAACCCUGAUCCAGCCAUGCCGCGUGUGUGAAGAAGGCCUUUUGGUUGUAAAGCACUUUAAGUUGGGAGGAAGGGCAGUAAGUUAAUACCUUGCUGUUUUGACGUUACCGACAGAAUAAGCACCGGCUAACUUCGUGCCAGCAGCCGCGGUAAUACGAAGGGUGCAAGCGUUAAUCGGAAUUACUGGGCGUAAAGCGCGCGUAGGUGGUUUUGUAAGUUGGAGGUGAAAUCCCCGGGCUCAACCUGGGAACUGCCUCCAAAACUGCAUGACUAGAGUACGGUAGAGGGUAGUGGAAUUUCCUGUGUAGCGGUGAAAUGCGUAGAUAUAGGAAGGAACACCAGUGGCGAAGGCGACUACCUGGACUGAUACUGACACUGAGGUGCGAAAGCGUGGGGAGCAAACAGGAUUAGAAAACCCUGUAGUCC
rnacentral:rRNA from 1 species